rfam:Tupaia chinensis contig197800, whole genome shotgun sequence.
GUGUUCACUUUGGCAGCAUAUAUACUAAAUUUGGAAUGAUACAGAGAAGAUUAACAUGACCCCUGCAUGAGGAUUACAUGAAAAAAAAAAAAUAAAUAAAAAUAAAA